UAAAUAGUGCUGCUAGCUUUUGCUGGUAUAGUCACUUCUUAGAGGGACUAUCGAUUUCAAGUCGAUGGAAGUUUGAGGCAAUAACAGGUCUGUGAUGCCCUUAGACGUUCUGGGCCGCACGCGCGCUACACUGACGGAGCCAGCGAGUAUUAACCUUGGCCGAGAGGUCUG
rnacentral:rRNA from 1 species